GAUGAAGAACGCAGCGAAAUGCGAUAAGUAAUGUGAAUUGCAGAAUUCAGUGAAUCAUCGAAUCUUUGAACGCACAUUGCGCCUAUUAGUAUUCUAGUAGGCAUGCCUGUUCGAGCGUCAUUUCAACCCUCAAGCCCUGCUUGGUGUUGGGGCGUCUGCAGCUCCGGCUGCAGGCCCUGAAAUUCAGUGGCGGGCUCGCUAUAACUCCGAGCGUAGUAAUCUCUCUCGCUUUGGAAGUGUAGCGGGUUUCCGGCCGUAAAACCCCCAAAAUUCUGAAUGUUGACCUCGGAUCAGGUAGGAAUACCCGCUGAACUUAAGCAUAUCAAUAAGCGGAGGA
rnacentral:misc_RNA from 1 species